CUGAUGCAAAAGCUGCAGAACAAGUCCAUGAAGAAAAUGGGGAUUUGGAGGUCCGCCAAAGCUGCAGGCUUUGACAAAGCCAUUACACCACUACAAAUCAAUCUGUUUUAUUUGACAAACUUAUAACAAAUACUGCAGAAGCAGUCUUGCAAAAAAUGGAUGACAUGGAGAAGAUGCGUAGACGGCGAAUGAUGGAAGACCUUGGGGUGUUCCACGAUGAGAACCUCGAUAUGUAUGCACAAGGAAAGAAAGAAAUCCAAAGAGCUGACAAAGAAAUAGCUGAUAAUCAAGGUGGCAUUGUAG